CGGGAAUAGAAUUCUAGGCCUAGUGGAUCACAACUGCUGGACGUGCGGUUACAUCAUGGGAGCUUAAUAAUAUAUUUCUGUAUGUGCACCGUUUCAUGCUGAAAUGCUGCACAUACAGAACCUUGCCCCGUCUAAACAUCUGAAGUGGACAUGGUGCUUUUAGUAACCCAUGCCAAUAAUAUAACACAUGAUUAAAUCUUCCUAAGGAAAACAUACCUAUCUGGCAAUAAAUGAGGGAAUUGCAACUUUUAGGAAAAUAUUUGGACUAAUAUGUACAGUUUCCGUGUCAGUUCUCCACAUGAUUAGUGAAUAAGUUCACACUUGGGGACCUUUAGAUUGUAGACACAAUUUGGGAAAUUAAGUGUUCUGUUCUAAAAUGUGGUGUAAAAGUGGAAACCAGUGGGACCAGCAGGCACAUUGCAUUGGUGCCUCCCCUCCCCCCCCCCCAGAUCAUUGAAGUAGUCUGGGUGCAGUGGCCCAGUCCCCCUUCAUCCUGCAAUGUAAAUCAUUGCAGUUUUUGAGAAACUGCAAUAAUUACAUUGCUGUACUAAGACUCCCUCUUGAGCUAGUCAAUCAGAAUGCCACUACAGGCACUUCCUCUUUGCUAGCCAGCUUUUGGUCUCCUGACACUGGACGUCCUCACACUCUGCACAAGGACAUCUAGCAUCUGUUAAAUCCCCAUAGGAAAGCACUGAAGCAAUGUAAGCAUGUCAUACAGACUCCAACUUAUUUUAUUUAAAAGGAGACUGAUCAUUGGUCUUCUCUGGUAAUAUUGGAGUCAUGAAGACACCCAACAUGCAUUUGUGUUAAGUGUUUGAAGGAGGUUUAUGAUGACAGCCAGCACAUUUUUUUCCAGAAAUGUUGUCCUGGUGUGUUGUAUAUUACACAGUAUACUGCCCAUUGGAGGAAAUGUAUAAGUAUAAAGUACAGGCCAAUGAAAAGCAUAAGAUGUAACCACAGGUUUUACAGGACAUAUUGAUUAUAUAUUAAAAGAAGUGUUGUGUUCUAAAAACUGAUCUAAAGUGCUAAAGUUGGGCAGUCACCAUGGAUACCAGUGGAACCAGCAGGCACAUUGCAUUGAUGACUCCUCCCCUUUCACGUGUUUGGCUCACCUUUUAGAACACACUUUUUAUACAUAACCUUUAUUGAGUUCCUAGGGUUUCUGACAAUAAGCACUGACAUGCAGUAAUUCCACAGAACAAGGAAGCGAUCUUUGUGAAGACUAUAUGGAUGUACAGGAAUAACUGUAAUGAUUGGGGCUGUAAUGACU